UACGUAGGGUGCGAGCGUUGUCCGGAAUUAUUGGGCGUAAAGGGCUCGUAGGCGGUCCAUCGCGUCGGGAGUGAAAAGCUGGGGCUUAACCCCAGUCCUGCUUUCGAUACGGGUGGACUAGAGGUAGGCAGGGGAGAAUGGAAUUCCUGGUGUAGCGGUGAAAUGCGCAGAUAUCAGGAGGAACACCAAUUGCGAAGGCAGCUCGCUGGGACGUUACUGACGCUGAGACGCGAAAGCGUGGGGAGCAAACAGG
rnacentral:rRNA from 1 species